UUGGAAAGGUUGCAUUGCCAAUGCCAACACUGCUCCUGGCUCUUCCACCUGCACCUGAAUCCAACCAUGGGUGCCUGGGGGGUGGGGUCGGGGUG